CGAAUAGCAGACUCAGCCCAGAAUGUAUGCAGGCCAGCCCGUGGGUGCGUUAGAUCCUGCUCUCAUUCUCUCUGUUGACUGACGUAGGACGAAAAUUACGGUUGGAUAACUUGCAUAACUAAGUAUUUACUAUAGAGUGAUCAAGGGUGGGGCCUGUGCACUGAACCGUCCAUCAGGGCAUGGAACAUGUGAACAUACAAUAAGCGCUCGUAAUUGAACAGCAUGCAAGCGCCAAACAACGUGCGCUUUUUUCCAAACCGGAGGCCGCCGCCGCCGCUCCGCUCAGCGCGAGGAGGCGAACCCGGCGCCCUCGCGGCCCCCGGCGCCCUCGCGGCCCCC